rnacentral:tRNA from 1 species
GCCUGAUUGGCGCAGUGGUAGUGACCCUACUUGUUGCGUUGGGGUUGUGGGUUCGAUUCCCACACAAGACA